UGGCGAACGGGUGAGUAACGCGUAAUCAACCUGCCCUUCAGAGGUGGACAACAGUUGGAAACGACUGCUAAUACCGCAUACGAUUCAAUCCCGGCAUCGGGACUGGAUGAAAGGUGGCCUCUAUUUAUAAGCUAUCACUGAAGGAGGGGAUUGCGUCUGAUUAGCUAGUUGGAGGGGUAACGGCCCACCAAGGCGAUGAUCAGUAGCCGGUCUGAGAGGAUGAACGGCCACAUUGGGACUGAGACACGGCCCAGACUUCUACGGGAGGCAGCAGUGGGGAAUCUUCCGCAAUGGACGAAAGUCUGACGGAGCAACGCCGCGUGUAGUGAUGACGGCCUUCGGGUUGUAAAGCUCUGUUAAUCGGGACGAAUGGUUCUUGUGCGAAUAGUGCGAGGAUUUGACGGUACCGGAAAAAAA
rnacentral:rRNA from 1 species